CUCUCUUUGAUUAGCGAUUUUGUAUUUUGAUUUGAUUUUCUGCUUAUUUAGCAGUUAUUUUUCUGCGCAUCUCACUGCAUGUUCAGAUGCUUCAGUGUCAGAAAAAUUACUGAAAUUAGAAAUCAGGUGCAAAAACUGAAGGAAAGAAAAACAUCGAAAGGGAAAAAAAAAUGGAACAAUAUUGACCCAUGCUCCCAGUAGCUGGCCAUAUAUAUGCAGGAUAACAAAGUUUGAG
rnacentral:misc_RNA from 1 species